GUCUUUUACAGUUUUGAUCAAGUGGAGAUUGACACUCAGAGGACAGAGGCUUGUGAAUGACCAUGCAGAGGAUAUGUGCCCAGUCAAGCUUGAAGGCUCUGACUCCACACUUCUCAAACUGACAGGAAAAGAACAGUUGGUGGCAGACUGUAGACACCAGAAUCUACUCAGUGCCACAGAAUUCACUUAAAGUCCGUUCUAGGUCGAUCAAACCUUAUAGAUUUGAUAGACAAAUAUUUGUGUUCUUCAUGCUGUGGCAGAGAUGGCCCUGUGACAUUUCCAGAAAGUCCAACACUAACAUGAAGCACUUUUGAAAACACUAUAUUGGAAUCUGAAAUAAAAUCAGUAGAAAGAGGAACAUAAUGGUCACUGGGAUGAUUGGAGGCCAGGGCCAGCAUCAUCAGGGGCACAGGAGGCUGAGGAGCAUCAUCACCUCUGAACCAGGAUGCACUGAAUAUUUAUACAAGGAUUUCUGGUACAGCACAGCAGUCAGGAUGGCAGGCAUUGGCUUCCCGAAUCCUACCUAUGCCAGAUCCAAGGUGGAAGCCAGUGAGAGGAAGGCCUCUGAGGAAGGCCCCAGGCCCCAAGACUCACUCCAGAAGAAGUGGACAGAGAAAUGGGGAAGAGUGACUCUAUUCCUGCUCCUCCUCCGUAAUAACAUGACUGACAUCAGCAUUGCUAGAACGGCAUCUAUGCAACAGUGUCCCCACAAAACUUAUUCAAUGUUCUGCAAACAGAUACACUGAGAAACUGUAGGUUAAGUCAAGCUAAACCCAUGUUAUUACUGCAUUGCUCCUCAAAGUGAUGAGCAUCAAUGCAGAAGCAUAAUUAACAUGAAAGUCGUUAUUAUGUACUAUGGUUUUAGAUCAUAUCAUAAA